rnacentral:rRNA from 1 species
GACGAACGCUGGCGGCGUGCUUAACACAUGCAAGUCGAACGGAAAGGCCCUGCUUGCAGGGUACUCGAGUGGCGAACGGGUGAGUAACACGUGGGUGAUCUGCCCUGCACUUCGGGAUAAGCCUGGGAAACUGGGUCUAAUACCGGAUAGGAGCCAUUUUUAGUGUGAUGGUUGGAAGGUUUUUUCGGUGUAGGAUGAGCUCGCGGCCUAUCAGCUUGUUGGUGGGGUAAUGGCCUACCAAGGCGGCGACGGGUAGCCGGCCUGAGAGGGUGGACGGCCACAUUGGGACUGAGAUACGGCCCAGACUCCUACGGGCGGCAGCAGUGGGGAAUAUUGCACAAUGGGCGCAAGCCUGAUGCAGCGACGCCGCGUGGGGGAUGACGGCCUUCGGGUUGUAAACUCCUUUCGCUAGGGACGAAGCUUUUUGUGACGGUACCUAGAUAAGAAGCACCGGCUAACUACGUG